CAGCCUGAUGGAGCACACCGCGUGAGUGAAGAAGGGUUUCGGCUCGUAAAACUCUGUUGUUGGAGAAGAACGUGCGUAAGAGUAACUGUUUACGCAGUGACGGUAUCCAACCAGAAAGUCACGGCUAACUACGUGCCAGCAGCCGCGGUAAUACGUAGGUGGCAAGCGUUAUCCGGAUUUAUUGGGCGUAAAGCGAGCGCAGGCGGUUGCUUAGGUCUGAUGUGAAAGCCUUCGGCUUAACCGAAGAAGUGCAUCGGAAACCGGGCGACUUGAGUGCAGAAGAGGACAGUGGAACUCCAUGUGUAGCGGUGGAAUGCGUAGAUAUAUGGAAGAACACCAGUGGCGAAGGCGGCUGUCUGGUCUGCAACUGACGCUGAGGCUCGAAAGCAUGGGUAGCGAACAGGAUUAGAUACC
rnacentral:rRNA from 1 species